ACCUGAAUAUCUCCACUCUCCUAGACAGACUGCAGGGUGGGAGAUGCAACAAUGGCCUUGAGAACAGCAGGAUGUGUGUUGGUGGUCUUUCUCUGGUAUGUGGAAGCAACUACGGCAACAAAGUGUGAAGAAAAA